AUGGAUCCACUGGAAAAGUCUAAGGCUUUGUGCCUGAAGCGCAAGCCCGAUGAUGAUUGCUUGGCAAAAAACAGCAAGUCCCAUCGUACUGAAAUUGAUAAUGUAUCUUCUAAGGUGCACAGCGGAUCCUCAUCGGAUUUACCUAUACGCAGUUGUCACAGCCAACCUAAUCUUGCUAAUGAUUGUGUUAAUUACCUGAAAAGUGGGGCGCCAAGUCGUGUUGUGUUUUACAAACAAGGUUCAUGGUGUGACUUUCCUGACAAAAUAGUCACAUCCAUUGUUGAUGCAUUCGGAGGUGAUAAAUCUAGUAUCGUUGUUGUGAUGGAUGACCAGCCUCUCCUUAUUGAUUUCUUAUCAAUGACCUUGGUGAACCUAAAAACGAGGAAACAGCGAUCUGUUGCAUGGCUUGAUGGGACUAACAACUGGUCUUUUCCGUCUUCAUUCUUUGAUGAGGAAGUUGAAGAAUCCGCAAAGUUGAGCAGAAAUGUUGUUGAAGGUGCUGCACUAGGUUCCGUUAGGGGUAAUGUUAUGAAGUCUCCAUCUGAUGUGGCGAAACAAGCUAUGCUUGAAGCCAGCCCUCCAGUUAUACAGAGUUCUUGUGCUUUAGAUAUAUUGCGUAAGAAGAUUGUACAUGUUGAAAGAGGUAGCGAAAGCUUUCUGUUUGUUCAGAACCUUUUCCUCUCUGGUAUGGGUUCAUUUGCAGUGCCUAACAACAUUCUUCAUAUUCAUCGGUACUCUCCAAAGGAUAUCCCUGCACAGCGUAGACUUGAAGCUUUUGAGAAACAGUUGAGGUUGACAGGACAGAAGUCUGGCAAUGCAAAUGCAAAAUAUGGAUGGCUUGGAUCCAGAAAGCAAGACAUUGUCAGUGUUAUAGUUAAUGGUUUUGUUAGCACUGGAAAAAACACUCAUGAUACGGCAAUGGCCGAUGGCAUUUAUCUGUCACCUGAAAACCGCGCCUUUACAAGUGUUGGUCUUUGUGAUGUUGACGAAAAAGGGGUACAGUAUAUGUUGUUGUGCCGAGCCAUAUUGGGCAAAACAGGAGUUAUCAAAUCAGGUUCACAGGAGGAGUUUCUAGGCAUUUAUGAUUCUGGCGUUGAUGAUUGCUCAAACCCAAACUAUUAUGUGAUCUGGCCAUCACACCGAAGCACUAAUAUUUCUCUGGAAUACCUUAUAAGUUUCAGGCUUGCUCCAAAAGUUCAAGAGUAUUUUCGUAGCUUGAAGGGUUUAUGGUUGCGCCCACCUCCAGGUGAAGUGAAAGUGGAUCCUUCUAUUCUUCAACCAGUACUCUGUCAAACUGAUGAAGGGCCAACGUCUCCAUGGAUUUCAUUCAGAUUGCUCUUUGAGACAAUACAAGACAAUAUAUCGGCUUUAGCGAGAGAAUUGCUCUAUCGCCACUAUGAAGAGUUGAAGGAAAAUAAGAUUACUCGUGAUGAAAUGGUCAAGAAGAUGAUGGUAAUAGUUGGAGAGAAAUUACUUCUGGAUUCCUUGACAAAACUUAAAUACAGUCCAUCAUUAUGGUACAACUCUCCUGCAAAAAAUACCAGUUAUUCUGCAGCACUGGGAUCUGGCUGCAUUGGGACAAGUACAGAUGUUGCUGUAUCUGCAACUCCUAGUCAUGAUGGUCCAUCAUCAAGUGUGCUUCGUGAGAAUUGUGAACCUGUGAAUCCCACACGUGGUGGUUCUCCUGCGAAUGCGGUCCGAGGACAGCAUUCGCCCACCCCAAGUAUGUGUUCGGAUAGCUCUUCAUCCCGCUGUACUAACAGCCAGUAUCCUUUUGAACCGAUGGUGGCACCUCUAGGUCAUGAUGCCCUUGUGAGGAGUGCUUUGCUCAGUGUUAAUGGCUUGGAUUCUGCUGGACCAAGCAUGGAGUAUAAUGGUCAUGAUACCCUCGCACGAAGCUGUUCUGAAGGCCAUGAUUCUCAUGUAUCAAGACCAACACUUGGAAACUCUGCAUCUGUCAGUAUGGAAGGCCUGCAUUCUGCUGCACCAGGUACGACGCCUGCAGCCCAUGACGCUCUUGCAUCCAAUAGGGCAAAUGAAAGUGUUGCUGCAACUCCAGGCGUAUCAUGUCAAGCCUAUACUCCAAGUAGGGUUCCUCAGUUCUCCGCAGCGACAAGUAUGGCGCCUGAGCUCUGUGCACCAAGAAGUAUGGCACCACAUCUCCGUGCGCCAAGAAGUAUGGCGCCUGAGCUCUGUGCACCAAGAAGUAUGGUACCGCAUCUCCGUGCGCCAAGAAGUAUGGCGCCUGAGCUCUGUGCACCAAGAAGUAUGGCACCGCAUCUCCGUGCGCCAAGAAGUAUGGCGCCUGAGCUCUGUGCACCAAGAAGUAAUGCACCACAUCUCCGUGCGCCAAGAAGUAUGGCGCCUGAGCUCUGUGCACCAAGAAGUAAUUCACCACAUCUCCGUGCGCCAAGAAGUAUGGCACCUGAGCUCUGCGCACCAAGAAGUAAUGCACCACAUCUCCGUGCGCCAAGAAGUAUGGUGCCUGAGCUCUGUGCACCAAGAAGUAUGGCACCGCAUCUCUGUGCGCCAAGUAUGGCGCCUCACCUCCAUGUGCGAAGCAAGGUGCCUAAAGUCCCUGCAAAAAAGACCAUGCCUGAAGCCAACUAUUCCAGUACAGCAACUGUGGUUCCUGUGAUCUGUAAACCUCCAUCAUCGGGUGUUUUACCAAAAGAUAACGGUCUUCCUAAAUCAAGCAAGGAGUGCAUGGCAUCAAGUUUAGUUCUGCAAGGCCCUGAUUGUCCUGCAAAUCGGGCAACGGAACUGCAAAACACUCCCAACCUGAAAAAUGUGGCUCCAAAGAAUCCCACAGCACAGUGUGGAUCAAACAAGAACCUCCCCCGGAUAGGCGUUGACGAAAGCAGCACCCCCGCAUAUGCAGCAGGUAGACUCAUUGCCCUUUCAGCGGACGGCGAGAAAGGCCCGUAG
rnacentral:rRNA from 1 species